AACUUUGGCCCCGGACUCUGCCCCUCGACCCCAGCACAGAAUCGCCCUGGGUCCUACUACAGAAUCAAUCUUUGAACACUGCCUCCACGUCGCCGGCUCAAUCUGGGCCAGAACCCAGACUUCCACCGCAGCCCCGCAAUCUGCAGACCUCAGUGGCAGCGCAGGUGGCAGACCUUCCUCCUUUGCCUGUGAGUCAUGGCAGCUCCCAUGAAUGGCCAAGUGUGUGUGGUGACUGGUGCCUCCAGGGGUAUUGGCCGUGGCAUUGCCUUGCAGCUCUGCAAAGCAGGUGCCACAGUUUACAUCACUGGCCGCCAUCUGGACACCCUUCGCGUUGUUGCUCAGGAGGCACAAUCCCUCGGGGGCCGAUGUGUGCCUGUGGUGUGCGAUUCAAGCCAGGAGAGUGAAGUGCGAAGCCUGUUUGAGCAAGUGGAUCGGGAACAGCAAGGGCGUCUAGAUGUGCUGGUCAACAACGCUUAUGCAGGGGUCCAGGUAGCCUUUGAACUUUGUUCCCAACUCCACAUUUCUGACCUCCCCCUCAGAUCCCUGCAUCUUCAUCCCCACUCAU
rnacentral:sRNA from 1 species